rnacentral:rRNA from 1 species
AUGAACGCUAGCGGCGUGCCUUAUGCAUGCAAGUCGAACGGUCUUAAGCAAUUAAGAUAGUGGCAAACGGGUGAGUAACGCGUAAGUAACCUACCUCUAAGUGGGGGAUAGCUUCGGGAAACUGAAGGUAAUACCGCAUGUGAUGGGCUGACAUAAGUCGGUUCAUUAAAGCCGCAAGGUGCUUGGUGAGGGGCUUGCGUCCGAUUAGCUAGUUGGUGGGGUAAUGGCCUACCAAGGCUUCGAUCGGUAGCUGGUCUGAGAGGAUGAUCAGCCACACUGGGACUGAGACACGGCCCAGACUCCUACGGGAGGCAGCAGCAAGGAAUCUUGGGCAAUGGGCGAAAGCCUGACCCAGCAACGCCGCGUGAGGGAUGAAGGCUUUCGGGUUGUAAACCUCUUUUCACAGGGAAGAAUAAUGACGGUACCUGUGGAAUAAGCUUCGGCUAACUACGUGCCAGCAGCCGCGGUAAUACGUAGGAAGCAAGCGUUAUCCGGAUUUAUUGGGCGUAAAGUGAGCGUAGGUGGUCUUUCAAGUUGGAUGUGAAAUUUCCCGGCUUAACCGGGAC